CAUUCAAUGGUAGUGAGAUAUCUCACAUAAUGGUUCGCCCUCAGUUACAGAUUGAACUCCUUGUUCUACUCAUUCUCCCUUAUCACUACUGCACUUGACUAAUGUUUA
rnacentral:sRNA from 1 species